rnacentral:rRNA from 1 species
AUUGAACGCUGGCGGCAUGCCUUACACAUGCAAGUCGAACGGCAGCGCGGACUUCGGUCUGGCGGCGAGUGGCGAACGGGUGAGUAACAUAUCGGAACGUGCCCUGGAGUGGGGGAUAACUAGUCGAAAGACUAGCUAAUACCGCAUACGCCCUGAGGGGGAAAGUGGGGGAUCGCAAGACCUCAUGCUCGUGGAGCGGCCGAUAUCUGAUUAGCUAGUUGGUGGGGUAAAGGCCUACCAAGGCGACGAUCAGUAGCUGGUCUGAGAGGACGACCAGCCACACUGGGACUGAGACACGGCCCAGACUCCUACGGGAGGCAGCAGUGGGGAAUUUUGGACAAUGGGGGCAACCCUGAUCCAGCAAUGCCGCGUGAGUGAAGAAGGCCUUCGGGUUGUAAAGCUCUUUUGUCCGGGAAGAAAUCCCAUCCCUGAAUACGGGGUGGGGAUGACGGUACUGGAAGAAUAAGCACCGGCUAACUACGUGCCAGCCGCCGCAGUAAGAC